AGAAUAGAGGUUUAGGUGGCCCAACAUUUUAAUUUUUUGUUCACUGACAGGAUAUACAUAUACAUGCAUAUACAUAUAUAUAGUAUUCUCAUACUUGUAACCUCCGUCUCAGUUGCGUACAUCAACCACAUAAAGCUGGAAUAGCAAAGGUAGCAUGCCAGAUUUUGUCAGUCAAUUACCUGGACAGAAGGCACUGUGUGGCUCUCACUUUUCAGUUACUUCUCCCCCUUCCCUGAAGCUCCAACAGUUGGUGAGCUUGCCUAAGCCUCACGGUAGAAUCCAUUGCAAGGGUAGUAUGUGGAGUGGCUGGUGGCAGUGGCCGUGGUGAACCUAGAAUCCUAGAACCUUAGUGGUGUCCUAGAGUCUGAAACCUACAGAUGCAGAAUAAAAAGUCAGCAAGAAAGGAAGACUGAUAAAAUAAAUAAGCCAAGGUAUCCACCCCUCACCUUCACAGUCCCUGCCUGCCAGUGACAACUUUGCAGGUGACCAGCUAACCCCGUCAUCCCUGUUGAGAGGAGUUGGUGCACAUCAGUUUAAGACAGGGUUGUGUGUGUACAUACUACCUGAAACUACUACAACUGUUGUUCAGCCAUGAAGCGAGUCAGCCCAGAGCAAAGCCAACUCACAGAGUGUGACAGGGAAAAGAUGGGAAAACCUGGUCCUGAUGACAUCAUUGAGGCAAAUGGUUGUACUAGGCCUGGAGCGUGUUCAACCUCUGGACAUCCUAUAAUGUGAAAUAAUAAAUUCCCUUGUUGUUCAAGCCAGUUAGAGUCAGGGUUUUCUGUUCCUUAAAGCCAAGAGCACUGACUUGAUAAACCACAAACUGCAAGCUAUUGGUGGGUAGGAAACACAGUAAGGACAAUGUGUUUAAAAGAUCAUGUCGAGAUUUUAAGAGGAAAACAGAUGGCAAAAAAGGGGUAGUUGACAUCAAUGGGGGGCUUAACCUUCUGUUGUUCCUAAAAUCAUCUCCAAUCAUUCCCCUGGCCUCUGGACCUGUG
rnacentral:lncRNA from 1 species